UUUGACCAAACGAGCUCUUCCUCAUUUCCCGUGUCUCUUCCCCGCACCUCCACGCCCAUCCCCUCCAAAUGCUCUAUCGGUAGCGCGUCUCAGCCUUGCACCGCCGUCUUACCUUGCGCCGCCGUCGCACCGAACCUCCAUUGCACUGAACUUCCAUCGCCACGAAACUCCGUCACACCCCUUCCCGACUCUUCUCUGUGUGUUGCUGAUUCCCUUUCAAACCCUAAUAUGCAUUUCUCUGCCACCGUCUUCGUCGCCUCCGUCGCCUCCGUCCUCAUCCUCUUCACCUUCUCCUGCGUUCACUCUUUCUACCUUCCCGGUGUCGCCCCUCGAGAUUUUCAAAUCGUACGUCUUCCAUUUUUCUAUCUCUUUCUGAGAUUCGCGUUCUCCUCUCUCUUAUUCGAAUUUAUGCGCUACUUGUUUCAUUAAUUUCUUGAUCAAAGCUAUUCUCACAGAAAUCAUAAGUGCAUUUCUCGCUCAUGUGUUGCUUAGUUGAUGUGUUUUUCUCUUCGAUCUCGCCUCAGCCGUGCAGGUAACCCUAAUCAGAAGGAGGUGCUGUGAGGUUUUUGUUGUAUUUUGUUGAUGUAUUUUGUUGUUGUUAUGAGAUUUUUUCCAAUUUUCAUACAGUAUGGAUAAUAUUGUAGUAAAGAGUACUACUACUUUGGGUUUUAUAUAUAUAAUAAUGCUUUUUCUGUCAUUGAAACAUGAAAUAGUAGCAGCAGGAGAUAACAAUUACAAUGAUCCAUACUUUUGUUUGAAUUUUGAAGAAAUUUGAUGGUGUAUGCAGUAGCUGGGAUUGAUAAACCCUAGGAUUGUGAUUUAAUUGGAGUGGAGACGAGAUGUUGUUUUCGCGGGCUAUGAGGUCGCCAUACAAAAGGAUGUUUCUGCUGAAAAGAUGAUAUUUGGUGUGGCUGAGAUUGAUCCUGAAAGAAAAGCAGAGCUAAUCAAGCUUGCAUCAUCUCUUGGUCCGCGCUUCUAUUCUAACAUUUUCAAACGCAAGCAAAUAUCAGAAACGGGCGCUCAACAAGUACUGGCCGCUUUCUUUAAUUGGUUUUUAUUUUCUUUUGGUUACAUCAAGAGUAAAGUUAAAGCAUAUUUUUGAUAGGUUUGUAAAUAUAAGAUGUCUUUUAUUCUCAACAAUUUUGAACAUUUUUUAUCUAGAGUACAGGAUACAUAAAGGAGUUUGAAACCUUUUUUUUUCUGUGGAACACUUGAAACCUUAUGAGAACGAGCUAAUAAAGUGAUACUUUUGCAAAUGCUACUGGAUACACAAGCUGUUAAGACAAUCCUUCUUGAAAUUCCUUCCCUUGGUAGACAGGUGAUCUAACUUCUGCAAAUACUUUUUAGUCAUCUUUCCUUCCCUUGGAGCUUAAAUCUAGGGAAUCUGAACUCCACAUUUCAAGAGUUGGUGAAUUUACUAUGUUGCUGUUCCUUUUACCAGUAGCAUUUAAUUUUCUUUUCAGUUAUAGUUUUUAUAUAGAAGAUAUUGAUAAUGAAAUUUUCAAGUGAAAAUUUUCACCAUUUUUCAUCCUUAAACAUAAUUAGAAUGUUGCAUCAAUAUUGAUCUUCAGCCAGUCGUUUGGUGGCACUCUCCAUCUCACUGGUAAGCUAUUUUUUCCUUUUAGGUUCUAUUAACUGGUGGUUCUUUUUCUCAUAUAUGUUGUUAUAGUCAGAUUCUAAUUGUCAGUUAGUGGAGUUAGUAAGUUAGUAAGUAUAGAAACUUCAGUUAUAGUAUGGGUGCUUCCAAUCUCCAGCUCAAGCUUAUCAGUUAUUACUUCACUUGAGUUCUUACUUCUCAGAUUGGGAGACAAAAGGAGAAAAAAUGAAGAAGAUGGGGUUGGGAGUUCCUGCUCUUCCAUUUACCUUUGUGGCUCACCUUCUAGCGGUGGCUGCUAUUGUCAUGGUCUUGCUUUAGAACAUACACUUCAGAGGUGGCUUAGCUUGGGAAGCUACCAACAAAAAUCUGAUAUUCAAUUUAGUGGAGUUCCACCUGAUGCAUUCUGUGAAACUGGUCAGCUGUGAAGCAGCUCUGAUUCCUUUGACGGAGUUUAGAGAGCAAGAGAUUAUGAAAAGGUUAAUAUAAUGGAAGAGUGUAAAAACAAUUAUUUGUUCUUAUUGAAGAUUUUGUUGAGUCUACCAAAAAAAUUUUUCCUUCUUUAACGGCACCAUUGAAGUUGCCGAGGCCGGUGGUUUUCUUAGCAUGGAAUCUGUCUUCCUUGUUACUCUUGGAAUUGCCCUCCUCAUCCUCCUGGGGCUAUGAAUCCAUGGUCAAAUACAACACCUAUCUAAGAAACUGCACAUGCUCAGUCCAAUGCAAACAAAUCAAAGAAGAAGAAGUAGAUGAACAAAUACUUUCAAGUUUCAGCCACACAAGAGUCUACCAUGGAGUGAAGAAUCAUGUAACUCAGAUUAGAUUAGAGAGUUUAAACUUUAAAGAGAGUAUGAGAAAAUAGUUUUAAAAUUUAGGCUGAAAGCCCUGCUCUUCUCUGUUGUAGUUUAAAAGAAAUUUUGGGGUAUCUUUUUUAUUGAGAAAGUGAGAUAUUGGAUAAUGGUGUUGAAAAAUAACAUCCAAUUUUAUAGGUAUCAUGUAAUGAAUAUUAUGUUUAUCUAUGUGAUUUUUGGCUUUCUUUUUUUCAA